GCCCCCCAUAGUAAUGCCUUAUCUCACUUCAAACACCAUGUCUACUGAAAGGUCUAGGGAAAGGCCACCAUUUUUCUCCUUCACAUUUUACCCAACAUACACCAGAGCCUAAAAACCAACCUUAUUAGAAUUGCUCUUGCUAACAAAGUUCUGAUCGAGACCAAUUUAGCUUUAUUAUAUUAGUCAAAACAUAUGUGUUUUAUAUCUUGUUUGGGCAAAGGUACUCAAAAAAUUGAUUAUGAGAAUUCUAUUGACUGUCCUGCUAAAAUAUGGGAGGUGAGUAUUUAAAAAAUGAAAGUGUAUUUCUGAGCUGGUAUUUCAGGCCCAUACUCAUUUCUGUGACAGCAUGCAGGGCACCUGACUCCAGAAUUCGCCAAAGGAAUGAAACCAAACUGGCUCACUAGAGCUCAUUGGAUGUACCCUCUUUUCAAUCAAUAGACUUUAUACAAUAUGCUGUCUGUUUAAUCAUUAUUUCUAAAGGGAACUGGGGUGAUUUCCCCCUGUGAUAACAUGAAACAACCAAGCAAGUAGGUUCUUUUUCUUUAAUUCCAAAUGACACCCGGGAUAGAACAGCCAGAGCUUUUGAAAAGGACUUAACAGGAAGUCAGGAGACGUGAUAGGUGCUUAGGGUGCAGUUUUAAUGCCAGCAGACUGGAAAACAAACAGCACAACCCAGACAAGACGUGGCUUUGUUCUUUAGCAUCUGUGUGAAGAGGAAAUAAGAUCUCUCUGGGAUGUGCUCCCCACUCACAGGUGUAAAAGAGAAAAUGUCACAUUCCUGCCCUGCUGCGUUGUGUGGGGUGCUGGUGCGGGGCAAGGCGAAGGGGCACCGCAUCGCCUCCCGUCGUAGAAGCUGCAUCCACUGAAUGCUCUUGGUGCUUUUGUUUCAGUCUACCGCAGUGGAUAGUAUAAAAGCAUGAAGUAGCCCUUAAUCCCGCGAGCCUGGAGCUCACUGGCUCCUCACUGCAUUCUCCAGCUCUGUUGUUAGUGGAACUGAGACACUGACCCCAGGCCGGCAACCCCUGUUCUUUGCUCUGGCACUAAACCCACUGAGUUGUUGGCAUGUCUAUUGUUUUACACCAGGAGGAAACCAACUGUGUUAAUGCGAAUGUCUUAGUCGUCAGACAUCACAGGCUCCACAUUUUUAAUGAGCUGCAACUUCUUGUGAACCUAGAAGAGUGACAGAGUGGCGAUGUUUGCUAAUUUAGUACAGUUGCUCUUUCCAGGGUUUGGUGGCAUUUCAGAACGCCAAGUGCUGCAAUUAGAAAGUCUGUCUGAGGUUGUGUGUUAAUCAAAGACAGCUGAUCAUGUCUGAAUUAUAAAGGAUAGCAAAGCAAUAAAGAUUGUGUUAUUCUUACAUUUCUUCCUUUUGACUUUAUAGAAAGACGGGAGUGAACAAGCUAUUUACCAAGCACCUAAUACAUCUUCUCGGGGCAUGAAAUUCUCCAAAUUGUCCCCAGGGCUAGGUCUUUAAAAUUAUGGUCCUUAGAAGGGAGCUUAAUUUCUAUGUCUUCAUUCAUCCCUCACGCUGAAUACUCCUCAUGGGUAAAAUAAAACAUUUCAGCAUUUAGUGUUAUGAAACCCAGUACUUAGCAAUUGCAGUAGUCGCUGGAAGAAGCAGCUGAAGUCCCUGAUUUUAUGGUAGCUUAAAGAGGACAUGGGUUGCUUACUACGCUUGUGGCAGGACCUCAAGAAUUCAGAACUGUGAGGUGCACACGUCUUUCCCUGGGUUGGGUCAUAAGACUUUCCUGCUCAAAGCACUGUUUCACUACACAUAGCAUAAAGUCUAACUCCUUUAAGAGCUUCUACUCAGCCACCCUGGUCAGCCUCUCAGCUUUCUUGCCUCCAUGUGCAUCCACAAGCUGACGUGUGAACACCCUCCUCCAACACCAACAUCAGCCACUUGCUGCUUCUGGGUCAUUGGCUGGGCAAAGUGAACCCUUUCCCCUUGUCUACAUGUUGCGUUUGGAGUUACCUUUCUUUCUUUCCUUGUUUUUUUUUUUUUUUUUUUUUUUUUUUUUAGACUUAUUUAAUGCAUAUGAGUACACUGUAGCUGUAAAGACGGUUGUGAGCCUUCAUGUAAUUGUUGGGAAUUGAAUUUGUAGGCUUGCUCCAGUUGGCCCCGCUCACUCGAGCCCAAGGAUUUAAUUAUUAUAAUACAUAAGUACACUGUAGUUGUCUUCAGAUGCACCAGAAGAAGGCGUCAGAUUUUCUAGUGAGCCACCAUGUGGUUGCUGGGAUUUGAACUCAGGACCUUCAUAAGAGGAGUUGGGGCUCUUAACCACUGAGCCAUCUCUUCAGCCCCCUCCUUGCUAUUUUUUAUGUGUAUGUGUGGCAUCCCUGAGUGUGUAUAUGUGUUCACAUGUGUACACAUGUGUGGGUACACAGAUGUCUGCACAUGCAGAUGUUAUCAUAAGUUGCUCUCCACUUUACUUUAACUGAGGCAGGGCCUCACAUUGAACCCAGAGCUUGCCAGUUUCAGCUGCUCAGUAAGAUCUCAAAUCCAGGCCUAGUACUUGCACAGCAAGCAUUUUAUCUUCUGUGCUAUCUCUUCAUCCUCUGGAGUUGCCUUCUGACUCAAAAUUCUUCUCCAUUGUGUCAGCAGUUGUGGAGUAAUGCUUACACAUCCCAUUUUGACUAGGGGAUCAUUGUUCUGGUAACACGCUCGAGCUCUUAAAGUACCAUACAGCUCUGAUACAUGUUUGGUGGUCUUCAAAAAGCAACCCAGUCCUGACUGGCCCUGUUUGACUGUGUCCUGUAACAUAAAAUACUCCAAUUGCUAAUUCCCACGGAGGCUGCCUAACAACUACCUUGCAUCAUUUCUAGAAAUGUGGUCUUCUACUUCUCAUGUUAGUGUGUGUAUAUGGUUCAAAUCACCAUUGGGGCCUUGCCUUAUUAGCAAGUCCUAGCAUUAUCCUGCCCUUUACAUUGUAAAACUAAACUGCUCUUAAAAAUAGGUGCCCGGACUUUUGGGAUAGCAUUGGGAAAUGUAAAUGAGGAAAAUAAAUACCUAAUAAAAAAGAAGGAAAAAAAAUAGGUGCCCGGAAAGGAUUGUGGUAGUUCCUGUCCGUAAUCCCAGCAUUUGCAAUGGCAAGGCAGGAAGGAUACAUACAUAGAGAUAUG
ensembl:sense_intronic Gm43112 predicted gene 43112